GUUUCAUUUGGCAGACUCUGAAGUUUGAUGCAGAGAAGGUUCCCUGGAACUUUUGAGAUUUCAAGGUUGCAGGGAAGACUUAAUGAAAUACCAUGCUCUUCCUGGAAGAGGAGGCCUGUGGAUAUUUUGACAUUGUCUUUCGAAGUUAUGUUCUCCACAGACAGUAAAGAGGUUAAGGGGUAAGAGAAAGAGAAGAAACAAAUGUUUGGCACCCUCCAUUUUUUUUGGAACCAUGUUCAAAACCUAUCCUCUACUCUUGUCAAAAACACGCAGCUUCAACACAUCUUCAACCUUCUGGAAGGUGGACUUGGUUUUUGUAAACAGCCCAAUGUAAUUCAAAGCUCAGCGUAGUGCAUUACUGCAUCCUUGAAAAACAGGAAAAAAUUGCUGUUGGUUUUUCUCUGAUUAUGAAAGCGAUGUACGGAAAUUGUAUACUGAAAAAAUACAUAAGACCACCAAGAAGACAGCUGCCCAGGAGAUAGAAGAUGCUGGAGAAUAUCAUCGGCCCGUGAUCCAACAAAUCCACAGCUGAGCACCGUGCAAAGUGCUUUCCAUGCUUUUCCUCAUUUUACCUUCAAAACAACUCUAUCAGAUGGACGGUAUUGUCUUCCCACUUGACAGAUAAGGAAGUUGGGCUAAGUCACUGGCUCAGGCGUGUGGCUGUUGAGAGGUGGAGCCCUGACCUCCCCGAAAGGCUGCCUGGCUAGAGUCCACACCUUAACACUGCAAGAGUCAUCUUUUCUCUGUACCGAAGCUACCUGGAACCAACUCAGCCAGCUGGUCACUUGUUCCCUACCCCUAGCUGGCAGGCAUCUGUGAGCACCAGCAGCCAGACCUCCCCAGACUCUCUGCAAUUCUCCUUUUGACUUUCGUCAACAGGCAGGAUUGUCAAUACCCACCAAGCCCCUGGAUGAAGGGCUGGCUUGCUCACCCUUCCUCCACUAAAAAUCCAAGCAAGUAAAUACAGCACGAACCAGAGAAAAGGAGGGGAUGUGCGUCCAAU